AUUGAACGCUGGCGGCAGGCUUAACACAUGCAAGUCGAGCGGAGAUGAGGUGCUUGCACCUUAUCUUAGCGGCGGACGGGUGAGUAAUGCUUAGGAAUCUGCCUAUUAGUGGGGGACAACAUUCCGAAAGGAAUGCUAAUACCGCAUACGUCCUACGGGAGAAAGCAGGGGAUCCUCGGACCUUGCGCUAAUAGAUGAGCCUAAGUCGGAUUAGCUAGUUGGUGGGGUAAAGGCCUACCAAGGCGACGAUCUGUAGCGGGUCGGAGAGGAUGAUCCGCCACACUGGGACUGAGACACGGCCCAGACUCCUACGGGAGGCAGCAGUGGGGAAUAUUGGACAAUGGGGGGAACCCUGAUCCAGCCAUGCCGCGUGUGUGAAGAAGGCCUUAUGGUUGUAAAGCACUUUAAGCGAGGAGGAGGCUACUGAGACUAAUACUCUUGGAUAGUGGACGUUACUCGCAGAAUAAGCACCGGCUAACUCUGUGCCAGCCGCCGCCGUAAAAC
rnacentral:rRNA from 1 species